GUUUGACCUCGGAUCAGGUAGGGAUACCCGCUGAACUA
rnacentral:rRNA from 1 species